ACCAAGGUUAACAAGGUUAACAAAUACCAAGGUUAACAAGGUUAACAAAUACCAAGGUUAACAAGGUUAACAAAUACCAAGGUUAACAAGGUUAACAAAUACCAAGGUUAACAAAUACCAAGGUUAACAAGGUUAACAAAAACCAAGGUUAACAAGGUUAACAAAUACCAAGGUUAACAAGGUUAACAAAUACCAAGGUUAACAAGGUUAACAAAUACCAAGGUUAACAAGGUUAACAAAUACCAAGGUUAACAAGGUUAACAAAAACCAAGGUUAACAAGGUUAACAAAUACCAAGGUUAACAAGGUUAACAAAUACCAAGGUUAACAAGGUUAACAAAUACCAAGGUUAACAAGGUUAACAAAUACCAAGGUUAACAAGGUUAACAAAUACCAAGGUUAACGUUUGCUGCUUUAACAACCUCAGAUCGCGAGCAUAGUUCGUUCCGGAAACGAGUUUGUAAUCCAAAGCGACUCCGUAUAUCGGUCGUGAUCACGUGACGCUCGGCAGUACAAAGCGUCGAG